GAAGUAUCGGGAGAGGAAAACCGAGAAAACGGUGGACGGACUGUGUGAGAGAUGAUAUGAAACGAACGCGAUGAAUGAUGAGAUGACGGGUGACAGAGAGAUAUGGAAGAAAAAGACAUGCUGCGCCGACCCCAAGUGAAUGGGACAA